AUAAUGUAUGCAGGUAGGGCGACAGACUUUAGGUGAGAAUGUAGGUAGGUAGGGCGACAGACUGUAGGUGAUAAGGUACAUAGGUAGGGCGACAGACUGUAGCUGAUAAUGUACAUAGGUAGGGCGACAGACUGUAGGGGAUAAUGUAUGUCGGUAGGGCGACAGACUGUAGGUGAUAAUGUAUGUAAGUAGGGCGACAGACUGUAGGUGAUAAUGUAUGUAGGUAGGGCGACAGACUGUAGGUGAUAAUGUAGGUAAGUAGGGCGACAGACUAGGUGAUAAUGUUGGUAGGUAGGGCGACAGACUGUAGGUGAUAAUGUAGAUAGGUAGGGCGACAGACUGUAGGUGAUAAUGUAGGUAGGUUGGGCGACAAGACUGUAGGUGAUAAUGUAUGUAGGUAGGGCGGCAGACUGUAGGUGAUAAUGUAUGUAGGUAGGGCGACAGACUGUAGGUAUGUACGGUGACAGAGUAUGUAGGUAGACACAGUUCUGUGAAGUACCAUUUGCAUAUCCAAAUUAGGAUGAUGAUUCUUUAUAAGAAACUUUAUAUAUUGUGUGAUUUUGGAAGUGUUGUUCAGGUGAAAAGACAUUAAUUGUGAUGUAUGAUAAAAAAAUGUAAACACUACUAUUUGUUAUGUUGAUUGGCAAGUAGCCCGAUAUCUAUUUAAAAGAAAUUUUAGACGAGGAAAACCACAGGACCCUAACCCUUUCACCACUGUAGAACAUAAUGGACUCAUUCAUAUCAAUGCUUGGUAGAGUCUUCUAAAGUAACAUAGGGUUGAAAGGGUUAACCUAUACAUAAAUAAUAUAUUAUAACGUUAAUAUUGUAAGAUGUUCAAAUCUAAAAAAAAGUUUUCCGAAUAAUCGUUUGACAUGACAUUUAGAAACGCUUAGAAUGACUGGACUGAUAUCGUGUCAUAUUGGUUGUAUAUUUUGUAUGUGAGUGAAGCGAUCCAUCAAAAUCAGAUUAACAAGGAAUCAUGUCUGUUCCCUUUCAUAAUAAAUGUAUCUAUAUAUAUUUGGUGGGGUAAGAAGUUUACGAAUUAUGUGAAUCGAUUUGUGUGAUGUUAAAAUCCGUCGAUUUAGAUUUAUUUGUAAAAUACUAAAUUACAAGGAUAUAAGCAACAUAUUGUUAAUUAAAAUAUUAUUUCUUACAAAGUUUAAAUAUUAUAUAUACUUGUUAAUUAUUAUGAAUUUGUUGUGUAGUAACCCGUCUUAAAUGUAUUUAUGUAUUAUUUUUUACAAAGUGUUUUUCCAUUUUUUUUUGAUUAUUCAAAUUAUUUCUAGUUUAUUUAAUUUCAAGGCAUGAAAAUUUGAAAAAGUUCAUUUAUUUAUAUGCGCUCGCAGUUUUGUAAUAAUGUAUCUAAAGCUAUAUUGCUGCUAUAUAUAGCUACCAGUUCUGCACCUUCAUACUUCUAACCUAUAUAUAAGGGUCACAAGGUUUCAAGACAUGUUAUACAUGCCACAAUGUGCCCCGUGUAUGCAGGUUUCAAAAGUGUAAUUUUUGAAUAUUUGUUCAAAUUAAAUAAAAUAAAAAGUUAAUGUUUUG